GCAGCCAAGUUAGCUCUGAAAUUGUCCAGAAAAUGUCGUUGUCUGAAGGCUUCCUGCAGCCGUUCCUUCACCGCGUUGUAGUCUGCUUGCACUGCCGCAGGUAAACUGUCCCACAGCAGGAACGCGGCUUUGGACAGUCUGGUGGGCAGUAUUCGAGCCAGUUCAUAGUCAUAUGCACUCUCGGCACCCGCUACUAGUGCUCUCACUGCCACUUCAUAUUGACGAGACCAGCAAGAGAAACUUUCCCCAUCCUCUCCGGAGAACACCGGCGGAAGCUCAAUGUUCACGCUGCUAGUGCGUGGUUUGUCUGGGCGGGAGAACCUGUACUCCAGCGGGUCUUCAUCACGUCCCCACAUAAUUCCUGGAGAUUCAACCGCUUCCAACCGGUAAACGUAUUGUUGUACGUCCUAUAUAUACUGGUACAGCUAAGCUAACCGCAAGUUAGCAGAGGCUAACUUCAACAAGCUAACGGACUCAGUUACCGUCACUGGAAAAUAGCUGGACUUCGGCACUGAAACGAUCCCACCGCUGCCACCAAUGUAACCGAGCCUUCCAGAAAGAGACGGGAGAAGAUAGAGGAUUGUGGUUGCUCAAGAAAAGGUUGAUAACUGUGAACUCUCAGGGUCGCUUUAUUUUAACAUAACACCAUUAACAACUCCGCUCCAACUUCUGUUGUUUUUUUUCUCUUUUUCAAACAUCACAUCCUGUCAGCAGCACCUUCAAAAUAAAAGUCCCAUAAAAGUGGGUUACAGAAUUAUGAGUAGAAGCGUUCUUCAUGGUCAAGUAAAAUGUUUUAUGUUAAAUUCAGUCCAGACGUUACGUGAAGUCUGGUCCAUUCUUCAUCUAGUUUAACAUCAAGCUAAACUCAAGUGAACAUUUGUUUAGUUAGCGUGUCUAGGUACCAUUUUUUUUAGGCCACGGUUGUCAAACUCAAGCCCUUGGUCUAUUUUUAUUUGCCCCCCGAAAUCAAAUAUCAAAUAUAUAAUAUUAAACUGGCCCGCCGGGCGAUUUUGCUGAUAAGACUACUAAUCCCAUAGUGCUGUGCGGCGUUAGCGCGCGAGACGAAGCAAGCCCUUUUUUAUGUUUACGAUCAUUAGCAUCCAUGCUAGUAGAAUCAGUGUGUGCAGCGUUACCCUCAGUCUUAAACAACUGAAGAUACUCCUCUAAGCACCCAGUUUACUCAGCGAGUUUCCGACUUUGAACGCCUAGAAAGAAGGUAUCUGGCUGGAACAGGUGACCAUCAGAGUGGAGCGAACUGAGCUUGAAACAUUUAAUUGUCAUGCACUUUUUCUGCUCCAAAGCAUGAACGUUAAUAACUGAGAUAUUUUCAUAGAAGAUAAUUGCUAUUUUUGGUUUUCACAGAUCUUAACUUAUUUAAUUAUCUAACAUGUUAUUGUAUGGCUGUUGUACCUUUCAUUUGGUAAUUGAUUGUUUUGGCCCCUAUAAAAAUGUGUCAUAUGAGAGUGUUUGUGCUUGAAUUACAUAGAUCAUGUACCUGAAGGUAGCUGACAACAACCGGGCAGACACCCACCUUGCCUUCUUCAUUGAAGCUGUGAAUGAGCAUGGCUUUCCUCUGAGGUAUUCAUGUUAUUCCCAACUUUACCCUCUGUUACCCUGUUACAAAUCUGCUUUUGCCUAAAGUGUGUUAUUGACCAAAGAUAACAUGCCAUUUGAGGUCAUAUAGUAAAAUCUAUUGGGGGGGGGUGAACAUUUUCCUCUUUCAAAAAAAAUUUCCCCAGCAGAGGGUUAAUAAUGCCACAUUGUUUACUCACUUAGUAGCAAGGUACAUAAGGAAAUUUCUGUGAGACUGAAAUUGAUGUAGAUUGUUAUAGAUGUGCAUUAAAAAUGUUUGAAGCAAGAUUCUAAUGUUUUUUUUUUCAUGGUGAGAGGAGAUCAUGGCGGAGAAAAUGUAGGUGUUGCAGAAUUAAUGUUCUCAGUUCGUGGAACUGACACCAACAGCUUCAUUGCAGGAAAAAGUGUACACAAUCAACGGUGAGUUUAACCUAAUUUGGAAGCUUUGUGUCUGUGCGCGCAUGCCUGUGCCUGUUGACCUGCCCAGGGUGCACCCUUCGUCUCACACUGUGACUGCUGAAGAUAGGCACCAGUCCCCCUGCGACCAUUCAAAAGAUAACUCAAGUUGAAAACGGAUGUAUGGACAUGUAAAUGUGUGUGUAUGUUAUAAUUUUCUUUUAUUUAAUCCCCCUCCAAAUCCAGGAUCGAGUGCCUCUGGCGUGAUGUCUUCAUGAGUGUUACUGGUUUAUAUUACAACAUCCUGCACUCUCUGGAAGACCAAGACUUGCUCGACAUCAGUAACAUCCUUCACCUGUUUUGUUGCCACUAUAUUGUCUCGCAUCCAGGCCAGCCUGGAUGUCUUUAGAGAUGUGUGGGACAACCAUCCAAUCAGGACAGAGGAAAACAUGACACCAAAUCAGCUGUGGCAUCUGGGCCAGGCUCUGAAUCCUGUUUCUGAUCCAGGGGCAAAUGGUAUACCGGUACCAGAGAUUGAAUGGGAGGAGAACGGAUACAUGACUGAACCUCAUCCUGGGAUCAGUGUCCCUGUACUGGACAGUCCUCUUUCAGAUCAUGAAAUGUUGGAACUGCAGGACAACAUAAUCCGUUGCAACAUUCAGACUCUUGGGAGUGGACAUAUAUCUUCACACUGUCCAGUAUGUUGAGAACUUACUUGAGGCUAGAUGAUUACAUGUGUGAAGAAGGAAGAAGAGAGAAGGUAGGGAGUUAGGAAGAAAGAAAACAAAGAGACAGGAAGGAAGAAAGUUAAAAAGUGAAGGAGUGGUCCAUUUUAAGGUUAAUGUACUGUAUAUUGUUAUUCAAGGGAUUAACCUUUGUAAAUAUGAAAUGCUAAAGAAUAGACCCCAAAAUAGAUUUCUAAAUUCAUUUAUAGUUGUGUAUUCCCUUAAAGGCUUUAUCAGCCUGAUUUAUUUUAGACCAGGAAUGUAUUUGAAAAGGCUGCUGUCCACUUCAUCUAUGCUACAAUUCUUCAAAAUGUAGAUGUUCUAUCAUUGCUAGUGUUGGUUUAGUAACAUGCAUCUUCCUGUGUAUCCAGCUCUAAUAAAAACAUUUAAAGGCGAAGCACCUACUUAUCAGGAGAUCCAUUUAUUUUUACAUGUUAUUGUUUGAAUUUUGUCUCGUUUCAUAACUUUUGCUCAACAUUUAAGGGGAACUGUGUUACCCUGCGAUCAUCUUCAUUACACUUGAAAACUUGUACUAUACCUCCGUCUGUCUACUUAUUAAAUGGAAUAACAUGACAAGA